GACGAACGCUGGCGGCGUGCUUAACACAUGCAAGUCGAACGGAAAGGCCCUGCUCUUGUGGGGUGCUCGAGUGGCGAACGGGUGAGUAACACGUGAGUAACCUGCCCUUGACUUUGGGAUAACUUCAGGAAACUGGGGCUAAUACCGGAUAGGAGCUCCUGCUGCAUGGUGGGGGUUGGAAAGUUUCGGCGGUUGGGGAUGGACUCGCGGCUUAUCAGCUUGUUGGUGGGGUAGUGGCUUACCAAGGCUUUGACGGGUAGCCGGCCUGAGAGGGUUGACGGCCACAUUGGGACUAAGGUACGGACCAGACUCCAACGGGAGGCAGCAGUGGGGAAUAUUGCACAAUGGGCGGAAGCCUGAUGCAGCAACGCCGCGUGCGGGAUGACGGCCUUCGGGUUGUAAACCGCUUUCGCCUGUGACGAAGCGUGAGUGACGGUAAUGGGUAAAGAAGCACCGGCUAACUACGUG
rnacentral:rRNA from 1 species